AAGGAGUCUAACAUACCUGCGAGUGUUUGGGUGUCAAACCCGGACGCGCAAUGAAAGUAAAUGCAGGAGGGAUCCGCAAGGAGCACCUUCGACCGAUCAGGAUCUUCUGUGAUGGAUUUGAGUAAGAGCAUGUAUGCUGGGACCCGAAAGAUGGUGAACUAUGCCUGAAUAGGGCGAAGCCAGGGGAAACUCUGGUGGAGGCUCGUAGCGAUUCUGACGUGCAAAUCGAUCGUCAAAUUUGGGUAUAGGGGCGAAAGACCAAUCGAACCAUCUAGUAGCUGGUUCCUGC
rnacentral:misc_RNA from 1 species